CAGGCUUAACACAUGCAAGUCGAGGGGCAGCAUUUUAGUUUGCUUGCAAACUGAAGAUGGCGACCGGCGCACGGGUGAGUAACACGUAUCCAACCUGCCGAUAACUCCGGAAUAGCCUUUCGAAAGAAAGAUUAAUACCGGAUAGCAUACGAAUAUCGCAUGAUAUUUUUAUUAAAGAAUUUCGGUUAUCGAUGGGGAUGCGUUCCAUUAGUUUGUUGGCGGGGUAACGGCCCACCAAGACAACGAUGGAUAGGGGUUCUGAGAGGAAGGUCCCCCACAUUGGAACUGAGACACGGUCCAAACUCCUACGGGAGGCAGCAGUGAGGAAUAUUGGUCAAUGGGCGAGAGCCUGAACCAGCCAAGUAGCGUGAAGGAUGAAGGCUCUAUGGGUCGUAAACUUCUUUUAUAUGGGAAUAAAGUUUUCCACGUGUGGAAUUUUGUAUGUACCAUAUGAAUAAGGAUCGGCUAACUCCGUGCCAGCAGCCGCGGUAAUACGGAGGAUCCGAGCGUUAUCCGGAUUUAUUGGGUUUAAAGGGAGCGUAGGUGGAUUGUUAAGUCAGUUGUGAAAGUUUGCGGCUCAACCGUAAAAUUGCAGUUGAAACUGGCAGUCUUGAGUACAGUAGAGGUGGGCGGAAUUCGUGGUGUAGCGGUGAAAUGCUUAGAUAUCACGAAGAACUCCGAUUGCGAAGGCAGCUCACUAGACUGUCACUGACACUGAUGCUCGAAAGUGUGGGUAUCAAACAGGAUUAGAUACCCUGGUAGUCCACACAGUAAACGAUGAAUACUCGCUGUUUGCGAUAUACAGUAAGCGGCCAAGCGAAAGCAUUAAGUAUUCCACCUGGGGAGUACGCCGGCAACGGUGAAACUCAAAGGAAUUGACGGGGGCCCGCACAAGCGGAGGAACAUGUGGUUUAAUUCGAUGAUACGCGAGGAACCUUACCCGGGCUUAAAUUGCAACAGAAUAUAUUGGAAACAGUAUAGCCGUAAGGCUGUUGUGAAGGUGCUGCAUGGUUGUCGUCAGCUCGUGCCGUGAGGUGUCGGCUUAAGUGCCAUAACGAGCGCAACCCUUAUCUUUAGUUACUAACAGGUGAUGCUGAGGACUCUAGAGAGACUGCCGUCGUAAGAUGUGAGGAAGGUGGGGAUGACGUCAAAUCAGCACGGCCCUUACGUCCGGGGCUACACACGUGUUACAAUGGGGGGUACAGAAGGCGGCUACCUGGUGACAGGAUGCUAAUCUCAAAAACCUCUCUCAGUUCGGAUCGAAGUCUGCAACCCGACUUCGUGAAGCUGGAUUCGCUAGUAAUCGCGCAUCAGCCAUGGCGCGGUGAAUACGUUCCCGGGCCUUGUACACACCGCCCGUCAAGCCAUGAAAGCCGGGGGUACCUGAAGUACGUAACCGCAAGGAGCGUCCUAGGGUAAAACUGGUAAUUGGGGCUA
rnacentral:rRNA from 1 species